rnacentral:misc_RNA from 1 species
AAACCCUCAAUUCCUGCAAUUCUUUACAAGUUGAAGCAACAACUUCCAGUCCUUUGUCUCCAAUACCAUCCAGAAUCCACAAGCGUUGAAGUUUCUCACAAUACUGAAUGACCUUUAUGAGCUCGUUGCCAUGAAGCCCAGGACUAUAGCUCAGGUUCAAGGAUGUCAAAUUCGAGCAAAUUGGGUAAAUGGAGGCCAGGCAGCGAGGAGACACAUCUAAAAAGCCAGAUAAACUCCUGAUAGAUUUGCAUUUCAGAAUGGUGUUCUUGAGAUUGUCAUAGAUCUUAGAAUCUCUAUCAUGAACAUAAGACCCCGUG